UCCAGACUCCUACGGGAGGCAGCAGUGGGGGAUAUUGCACAAUGGGGGGAACCCUGAUGCAGCGACGCCGCGUGGGUGAAGGAGCGUUUCGGCGCGUAAAGCCCUAUCGGCAGGGAAGAAGGAGGACGGUACCUGACUAAGAAGCCCCGGCUAACUACGUGCCAGCAGCCGCGGUAAUACGUAUGGAGCAAGCGUUAUCCGGAUUUACUGGGUGUAAAGGGAGCGCAGGCGGCCUUGCAAGUCUGAUGUGAAAGGCCGGGGCCCAACCCCGGGACUGCUCUUGGAACUGCGCGGCUGGAGUGCAGGAGGGGCAGGCGGAAUUCCUGGUGUAGCGGUGAAAUGCGUAGAUAUCAGGAGGAACACCGGUGGCGAAGGCGGCCUGCUGGACUGCGACUGACGUUGAGGCCCGAAAGCGUGGGGAGCAAACAGGAUUAGAUACCCCCGUAA
rnacentral:rRNA from 1 species